rnacentral:rRNA from 1 species
UACGGGGGAUGCAAGCGUUAUCCGGAAUUAUUGGGCGUAAAGGGUCUUGAGGUGGCUAGCCAAGUCUAUUGUGAAAUAUCAGGGCUUAACCCUGAACAUGCGGUGGAAACUAGAAAGCUUGAGUACAGUAGGGGCGGAGGGAAUUUCCGGUGGAGCGGUGAAAUGCAUAGAUAUCGGGAGGAACACCUGGUGGCGAAAGCGGCUCACUGGACCACAACUGACGCUGAGGCGCGAAAGCUAGGGGAGCAAAACAGG